CUCAGCUGGUAGAGCAGAGG
rnacentral:tRNA from 32 species